GAUAACCGUGGUAAUUCUAUGGCUAAUACAUGCGCACAUACCUCUUCCCUCGUGGAAGGGUAGUGUUUAUUAGAUACAGAACCAACCCACCUUCGGGUGGUCCUCAGGUGAUUCAUAGUAACCGAACGGAUCGCAUUAUGGCCUUUUGGUCGGCGAUGGAUCAUUCAAGUUUCUGACCUAUCAGCUUUCGACGGUACUGUAUUGGACUACCGUGGCAGUGACGGGUAACGGGGAAUUAGGGUUCGAUUCCGGAGAGGGAGCCUGAGAAACGGCUACCACAUCUAAGGAAGGCAGCAGGCGCGCAAAUUACCCAAUCCUGACUCAGGGAGGUAGUGACAAGAAAUAACAACACUGGAAAUUAUAUUUCUAGUGAUUGGAAUGAUGGGAAUCCAAACCCCUUUCAGAGUAACAAUUGGAGGGCAAGUCUGGUGCCAGCAGCCGCGGUAAUUCCAGCUCCAAUAGCGUAUAUUAAAGUUGUUGCAGUUAAAAAGCUCGUAGUUGGAUAUCUGCUGGAAGCAGCCAGUCCGCCCUUUGUGGGUGUGCACUUGGUGAAUUCUGGCAUCCUCCUGAUUGGUGUUAUCAUCACUUCAUUGUGUUGAUGGCAGCUGUCAGGACCGUUACUUUGAGAAAAUUAGAGUGUU
rnacentral:rRNA from 1 species